CGUAUGCUCUGCGACGAGCCACCUCCUGACCACAACCUUUAGUGUAAAUUAGAUAUCUGAGUUUUAACGGACUAUAGUCAGCCAAUCGAUCGACGGAAGCCGAACAGGAUACAGUGACAGGUGGCCGUAGUACCACUUUACAUUCGUACCUCACAUCGCGCUGUGGCUCAUGUUGACUACAUCCCCCAAACAAGCAUUACAGAUUAUCAUCGGAAACAUAUCGAGCGAAGGGUAUCAACUGACAUCCCACGCUUCACGUUGGCUAUAACUAAGCUGGAGAAAUCUUCUCACCAGUGGCACAAAAGAGGCUUUGCUAAGUUUGGUCUGCCUACUGUUGUUUCACUACAACGUUUCUCCUUGCUUUCUGGGUUCAAAUCCGGUAUUCCUAGAGACGGUGUACAGGCCAGGAUAUCAGACAAGACGACAUUUACAGACAAAUCAUGGAUGCAAGCGCUUACGCUUUGUUAGCCUUAGUUACCUUCUGUGGACUUGGUUGCGGUAUAUCAGAUUUUGGUGUUACUGAUGACAGAGAGGGAUUGAACGAAGAUUCUGUAAAUUCAAGGAAUUUUCCACUGCCAUCAGAUUUAAAGCGACAGUGGAUAACAAUGCUUCCGGAUCAAAAGUUCCGCCAUGUUGGAAUAGGAAAAAGGACUCUGGAUUUCUUUCGUUUUCACAAUAAAAUCGGAAAACGUCUGGAUCUCCUUACUCUAAUUAGAAGCAAUCUACACCAUUCACGUGAAAUUCUCAGGAAGAACUACAGACCAAAUCCAAAUGAAAGGUCGGCCUAUAGAUUUGGCUUACCCCUAGCGCCUGUACGCAGGUCACUCCGGACCCGGAACUACGGUCUGCGCAUGGCUAAUGGUCGUUUGUCAGGUAUCUACCUCGGCGCGCGGUCACAAGUGGAUCCCAUGAUGCUGCAAUUAGGAUUGGGGAAAUAGAAGAAGCAUCCCCGAAAACUAAUCAGUUUGAAACGAGUUAUUGAAGUAUCAUGUUCACAAAGAACUUUUCGAAAAUUUGAAUGUCUAUGGUACUGGUUAACCUACGAAUCUGACACUAUAUAUUUCAUAAUUAUAUGUUUUAGCCUAUGUAUUAACUAUGCCAAAUCAUGGGUUUGCAUAGUUGUAUUAAUCAUGCAAGUCUGGUAGGUUUGAUUUCUUAAUCACUCAUUUCUUGGAAACGAAAGAAAUCAUGGUAGUGUAUUUCAACUGCGAGAAUAGCUUCGUUGUUAAAACAUCUUCCAAAACUAGUUUCUGCAGGCAAUUGUUAAACUUGUGGAGAAUUCUGACAGAGAGCUUAGAUGUUGUUUUAUUCUACUACGUAGGCAAAGUGUUCAGUAUGUCUCAUUGCAAAGAACAAUGUCGUGGAAACUACGGUUGGGCACAAUGAAACUCAUCAUUGGAAAACCUGAUAGUUUAAUCAUCAGCGAAAAUAGAGUCCUAAAUGUCACGAAUCUGCGUUCAAAUCAUUUAUGAUUGGUUAUCAGCGCUGUUGAAACUUCAGUAUUCAAUGAAUCUCAAGUAAGUUGUAUUUAAAAGCGUUCCGCUUUAUCCAGAAAAUGCCAUUCCCAUAAACAUGUAAGUUAAUUCCUAUUGCUUAUUGGGUUGGUGCUGACUUUUAUUAUAGUCGAUAUUUAAACACAAGCUUUUCUGGGACUUUCAGCAUCAUUCAAAUAGGAGACAGACAACGGGAGAAAUAAUGUCAAUGCUUCCCAGCGAUAAAUACAAUAUUUGCAUGAGGGUUACAUUGUGUUGAUCGUUUGUGUAGCCGUCCUUAAUGACGUCACGUCUCAUCAGUGCAUUGUCGCGAAUAAUUUGAUACGACGUCACUCAUUGUUAUCCGUGCCCAUAGGACACAACCCCCGACAUGUUCGGAGUUGGUUGCUUCUGGAAACAUUUGUGUUUCACAAAAAUGAUGGGCCAAUGGGUUUACGACCGCUGAGAGAUGUGCAAGGAUCUACUGAUUCGAUACGAAACCUAAAUUCGGUACGAUUAUAAUUCUUGGCCAGCCUGUGAUAUAAGUAAUAUAUGCUUUAUAUUUAUCCAGCGUUUUGUGUUUGUGUACCAAUCGGUUUGAUACCAAUAACUGCUUAUCCAAAAUUAUUCUAAAUAUCGAGACUCGGUAGUGAAUAUAUAAUGUUUUCUUUUCUUUAUCUGCAGUUCACGUUACAAAAUAUGGAUGACUUAGUAUUUAGUCAAAUUUAAUUGAAAAAAAAGUACCUCCCCCAUACAAGGAAAUUGCAUAGGAGACAAAAAUACUAUUUCCCUUCGGUUGCCUAGUAAUAAAUUCCAACCCUUUAUAAAAUAAGACUUUGAAAGUGUAUAAUUAUUUUUUGUAGCCUUUGAUAAGACUGGCCCUUAAGAUGUCCGACCCAAAUGGCGACAGGGAAUAGCGGCAUUAUUGACAUAAUUGCGUCUGUCCUACUCAUGCUGUGAUACCGGUAAUAUCUACCGGUACCUUGUAAUUGCAAAAGUGGAUCGAUGUACUUUUUUGUUUCGUUUCCCGAGUGUUUGUUUUGUCGCAGAAUUGAACAGUAACCAUGAACGUAUUAACACACUCUUCGUCAUAUGAAACAAUAUGAUGUUAUUUAUUGCUAGAGACAUAUUUGACAAGCAUGUUUAUUUUUAAUGUCACGUAAAAGAUCCAGGUUGAACCUUUGGAUGGGUAUACAAUAUCGUGCUCAACACUUGCAAUGGAUGUUCAGUUUCUUUGUCGGUCGUUUUAACAGGAAUUGAUUUCAGACAUGAUUGUUUGUGAAAAUAAUCAAACUUACAUACAUUAAUUGCCUUUUAAUCAAUAUUAUAUUCCUUAAAGGAAUAUCGACUGAAAUGUUUCAGAGCGAGUACAGCGUAAGUGUAUAUGAAUAAUCACUCAAUUAAUUACGUCAGAGGCAUGCAUGAAUCCACGAUACAUGCAUUUUACUUCGAAGUACAGUUCCACAAACAUCAAUCCAGCCUGUCAAGUACGGCAAGCUGUCGUUUUGUACUUAGGGGCGUUGGGAUAGCCUAGUGGUGAAAGCGUUCGCUCGUCACGACGAUGACCCGGGUUCGAUUCCCCUCAUGGGUACAAUGUGUUAAGCCCAUGUCUAGUGUUCUCCGCCGUGAUAUUGCGGGAACAGGGCUUAAAGCGGCGUAAAACCAUACUCACUCACUUUAUGUACUUUUCUUACAUUGCUAAACGAAUUAUAAGUUACCUCAGAUUUCGUAAGAAGUAAAACCUCGUAUUGCGGACACUGCCGAAACCAUUUAUAUCGCACGGAUUAACCACUUUCCGGAUUAGCGUAUCAUGGGAAGGGAUAAAUGACCUUUGUAUCAUUGUGUAAGCGUUCGUAUUAAUGGGAUUCUGACUAAACAGCUACCGGGAUUUCAAUGUAUUCGAAUUCGUUCAGGAGAUGGACAAUUAGGUAACGUUUUUGGAAAUAAUUUACAGUACACUCACCCUCUGAAUACAGGAGGGUUUUUUUCCAGUCAUACUCAGAUUGAGAUUUAAAUAUAUUUCUGAUGUGUAUUAUGUUCACGCCAGUUGCUGCGACGUGUAGGCAUUGUCAUAUUAUGUGGAUCAUUAUUUGCUUAACGUCCAAUUCUCGUAUCCCAUGGUUACGCUUGUGCAUUGUGUUGUCAGUCACAGAGCACACAGAGCACUCGCCGUGACAAAUUAAAACGAUAUCAAGACAAUGUGCGCAUUCCUUUAAAAGUGCGCUACCAUGCAGCUACAUGUACUAAAGCGUUUCUAAACCUGUCAUGAGAUUAAUCUUACUUGACUGUCCACUAAGUACUGACUUAAUUAUUCAUAAUAUUAAUAGUUAUUGUUCCUUUCAUGUGACAUCUUAUCAUACAUAAUAUUUUAUUCAUAAAUUAUAGUAUAACUACACAUGUUAAACAUGUCUUUCUUCGACAAUUCAUGUAUCUCCGACUACCAUUGAAAAGGCCAAUAAAUAAUGGUU